CCCUUAGAUGUUCUGGGCCGCACGCGCGUUACACUGUUCGACGCAGCGAGUCUUAACCUUGACCGAAAGGUUUGGGUAAUCUUCAGCAAAGUCGAACGUGAUGGGGAUCGAUCAUUGCAAUUAUUGAUCGUGAACGAGGAAUUCCUAGUAAGUGCAAGUCAUCAGCUUGCGCUGAUUACGUCCCUGCCCUUUGUACACACCGCCCGUCGCUACUACCGAUUGAAUGGUUUAGUGAGAUCUCUGGAUUGACGCUGGCUAGGGGGCGACCCUUGGCCAGGCUGUCGAGAAACUGCUCAAACUUGAUCAUUUAGAGGAAGUAAAAGUCGUAACA
rnacentral:rRNA from 1 species